UGGGGGCUUGCUGCCGUGAGGCGGCUCCCCUCAAAUGCAUCGGUUGGGCCUGUGGGUCGAACUCGACUGGGCGUUGUAUCAUCCUCGCUCUACCGAGAAGUUCCCCUUCCGUGCCCGACCCCGACCUGCCUUUGGAGCGGCGGUCAAGCUAAACUUUGAAAUCUGACCUCAAAUCAGGUAGGACUACCCGCUGAACUUAA
rnacentral:misc_RNA from 1 species